AGCAGCCGCGGUAAUUCCAGCUCCAAUAGCGUAUAUUAAAGUUGUUGCAGUUAAAAAGCUCGUAGUUGAAUUUCGGGGUCAGCAGGUCGGUCGUGCCAAUGGUAUGCACUGGCCUUGCUGAUUCCUCCCUCUUGAUGAACCGUAAUGCCAUUAAUUUGGUGUUGCGGGGAAUCAGGACUGUUACUUUGAAAAAAUUAGAGUGUUUAAAGCAGGCAAGCGCUUGAAUACAUUAGCAUGGAAUAAUGAAAUAGGACGUUUGAUCCUAUUUUGUUGGUUUCUAGGAUUGACGUAAUGAUUAAUAGGGAUAGUUGGGGGCAUUAGUAUUCAAUUGUCAGAGGUGAAAUUCUUGGAUUUAUUGAAGACUAACUACUGCGAAAGCAUUUGCCAAGGAUGUUUUCAUUAAUCAAGAACGAAAGUUAGGGGAUCGAAGACGAUCAGAUACCGUCGUAG
rnacentral:rRNA from 1 species